ensembl:lncRNA
GGAGAUUUAAACUUAUCAACAAAUAUCAUUAAAAAACUCUUUUGUGCAUGAAACGGCGUCAACAGUCCCCUCGUAGGCUGCUUUCUAACACAAAGUUAAACUUCUACAAGUCCGAUAUUGAUCAUUUUACAGCUUUUAAUCUGCUUAAGAAACAUCUUGUUAACAUUGAGAGUCUUUAACAGUAUGAAUUGGUUUUGAUGCUGACUGGCGUUGCAGUUCAGAGCUUCCAGCAUCACUGUCCACGUGAUGCUGCGGCCGUGACACCGUACUGUAUCCCAGGCAGGAUUUAGAGAUCUUUGAAAAGAGGCAAUUUCAGAUUAUCGUGGCCUGAUCUGUGUGGAUGUGUCGGCCCUGUCAGCUGCGCGUGGAUACGAGCAGGACACACAUGGUUUAGGAAUGCACAGAUGCCUCGCGUUGUCGUUAAUCUCCCCGAGUGGCUCGCGUCUCGAUGGCAUCCAUAUGCAACUUUAAUUUCAGCACUUCAAGCUGCACGGGAAGGGAUAAAGAUAGCUUUUGAAGAUUGCUUUUCAUGUUCAUCUGAGCGUUUAAGUGUUGCAGAGAAGAUCUGGACUGCUUUUUUUUUUUUUCUUUUUUCCUCUUUUGUGAGGCAGGAGUUCGGCUUCUGCGAGACAGUUUGAAGCAUCUGAAAAUGGCAGCUUUAGCGGCAAUUUCCUGGUAUUGUCUCCACGCUAACGAGAUAAACACUGUGUGUCAAUCAGAGCGACUUCCAAAAGGUGUCGUAUUUCAAGGUUGAGCUACAUUUCGUGUGGUAACAGUGAGCAGUGGAUGGUAAUUUUGUGGAGAGAACUUGACUGAGCUGCCAGCUGUUUUUGGACAUUUUUAUUUUGGAGCGUGUUCUUUACCCUCCAAUAAAAUGCCCAACUUCAGUAUUCCUCUCUCACAUGAAUAUGCUUCGAACAAACAGCCCUAACAUCCAUGUUAUACGAUCCCCAUUGUUAAAUGUUCUCUUUUAACUUCCAUCCAAAUCAGCUCGCAGAGGGCCAGUGCUAAAAAGGAUAUGGAGCUUUCAGAUGGCACCUAAGUGCUGUAUCGCGUAACCGCCGAGCCUUUUUAUGGAUUAACAGUUUAUUCCUUUUGCUGGAGCCACACCAAAGCGCCCUGGCCCUGUGUAAAAUACACUGCUUUUGGUGAAUUAUGAGUGUGGCCUUCGUCCAAGUGCCUGCGGCCUUCCUGUUUAUUUGUACGGCGGCGCAGGUCGGCGGCGAGGUGGGGUCCGACGGAUCCAGCUGAGCAUGUGUAAACACUCAUCCUGGGAGCUGCGGUGAAA